rnacentral:rRNA from 1 species
GAACGGGUGAGUAACACGUGAGUAACCUGCCCUUGACUCUGGGAUAAGCCUGGGAAACCGGGUCUAAUACUGGAUACGACCUUCUGGCGCAUGCCAUGUUGGUGGAAAGCUUUUGUGGUUUUGGAUGGACUCGCGGCCUAUCAGCUUGUUGGUGGGGUAAUGGCCUACCAAGGCGACGACGGGUAGCCGGCCUGAGAGGGUGACCGGCCACACUGGGACUGAGACACGGCCCAGACUCCUACGGGAGGCAGCAGUGGGGAAUAUUGCACAAUGGGCGCAAGCCUGAUGCAGCGACGCCGCGUGAGGGAUGAAGGCCUUCGGGUUGUAAACCUCUUUCAGUAGGGAAGAAGCCGGCUCUUUGGGUUGGUGACGGUACCUGCAGAAGAAGCGCCGGCUAACUACGUGCCAGCAGCCGCGGUAAUACGUAGGGCGCAAGCGUUAUCCGGAAUUAUUGGGCGUAAAGAGCUCGUAGGCGGUUUGUCGCGUCUGCCGUGAAAGUCCGGGGCUUAACCCCGGAUCUGCGGUGGGUACGGGCAGACUAGAGUGCAGUAGGGGAGACUGGAAUUCCUGGUGUAGCGGUGAAAUGCGCAGAUAUCAGGAGGAACACCGAUGGCGAAGGCAGGUCUCUGGGCUGUAACUGACGCUGAGGAGCGAAAGCAUGGGGAGCGAACAGGAUUAGAUACCCUGGUAGUCCAUGCCGUAAACGUUGGGCACUAGGUGUGGGGGACAUUCCACGUUUUCCGCGCCGUAGCUAACGCAU